rnacentral:rRNA from 1 species
AUCAGCUUGUUGGUGAGGUAAUGGCUCACCAAGGCGUCGACGGGUAGCCGGCCUGAGAGGGUGACCGGCCACACUGGGACUGAGACACGGCCCAGACUCCUACGGGAGGCAGCAGUGGGGAAUAUUGCACAAUGGGCGAAAGCCUGAUGCAGCAACGCCGCGUGAGGGAUGACGGCCUUCGGGUUGUAAACCUCUUUUAGCAGGGAAGAAGCGAGAGUGACGGUACCUGCAGAAAAAGCGCCGGCUAACUACGUGCCAGCAGCCGCGGUAAUACGUAGGGCGCAAGCGUUAUCCGGAAUUAUUGGGCGUAAAGAGCUCGUAGGCGGUUUGUCGCGUCUGCUGUGAAAUCCCGAGGCUCAACCUCGGGCCUGCAGUGGGUACGGGCAGACUAGAGUGCGGUAGGGGAGAUUGGAAUUCCUGGUGUAGCGGUGGAAUGCGCAGAUAUCAGGAGGAACACCGAUGGCGAAGGCAGAUCUCUGGGCCGUAACUGACGCUGAGGAGCGAAAGGGUGGGGAGCAAACAGGCUUAGAUACCCUGGUAGUCCACCCCGUAAACGUUGGGAACUAGUUGUGGGGUCCAUUCCACGGAUUCCGUGACGCAGCUAACGCAUUAAGUUCCCCGCCUGGGGAGUACGGCCGCAAGGCUAAAACUCAAAGGAAUUGACGGGGACCCGCACAAGCGGCGGAGCAUGCGGAUUAAUUCGAUGCAACGCGAAGAACCUUACCAAGGCUUGACAUAUACGAGAACGGGCCAGAAAUGGUCAACUCUUUGGACACUCGUAAACAGGUGGUGCAUGGUUGUCGUCAGCUCGUGUCGUGAGAUGUUGGGUUAAGUCCCGCAACGAGCGCAACCCUCGUUCUAUGUUGCCAGCACGUAAUGGUGGGAACUCAUGGGAUACUGCCGGGGUCAACUCGGAGGAAGGUGGGGAUGACGUCAAAUCAUCAUGCCCCUUAUGUCUUGGGCUUCACGCAUGCUACAAUGGCCGGUACAAAGGGCUGCAAUACCGCGAGGUGGAGCGAAUCCCAAAAAGCCGGUCCCAGUUCGGAUUGAGGUCUGCAACUCGACCUCAUGAAGUCGGAGUCGCUAGUAAUCGCAGAUCAGCAACGCUGCGGUGAAUACGUUCCCGGGUCUUGUACACACCGCCCGU